GUGGCCUAUAGGUUGAAGAUGGAUGCCCCAACGUUACAGAGGAACUUUGGGUGACUGUCCAGUGGUAUCUCCUAGAGGAUCAGAUAAUAAAAAGGACCCCAGGUCAUGGAACGGUGUGAGGACAGACUUACAGCAGAUAGAAGAAAUGGUGAAGGACAACUGAAAUGCAUGAAAGACAGUCAAGCUUAGGACCAGGGAUAUCAUGUAAUACGUAAUGAGAAGCCACAAUGAGAGUCUAGAGACAGCCCGGGGCCAGCAGAAUGAGAAUCUCCAGCUCCUAAUGAUGAAGAAUGAAAGCAAAGCUUCUGCUCAAACAUGAUAUCUUUGGAGAUUUUAAGUAGCUGGUAGAUGGCAAUGGUCUGAUAGACACAUGGAUGAGUAGGAGGGCAGGAACUUAAGGGCAUUCAGGCCUCACUUAUGGAUGACCAGGUUAGUAAUAUUUUCUUAUUCUCUUUCCAUGGUGUCCCACUGCAUUCUAAUGUAUAAUGACAGCUCCAACUUAAGGAUGAUUUUUAUUUAAAACAAAGAAUAUCUUUCUGAUAGAUCUGCUGGGCAAGAUCUAAAAAAGCAUUCCAACUAUAAACAACAUUAUUUCUUCCAAUAUGGAAACAUGUUUAAGACCAAGAGAGAAAAUUAGUAUACCCUAUAGAAAUAUAGAAUAAAAGCUAGAAUACCUCAACGUAAUAUUUUUCUUUUCUCUUAUAAUUGGAUGAGCUUCCAUAGGAAUUUCUCUUGAGAGUAUAAACUCAUGGGAUAUUUCCAUAUGUGAAGAAGAAACAUCAGUAGUAAAUAAAGGUGAAUUGUCACAUUAAGCAUAUGAUCAAAGUUCACACUAUAUACUCAUAUCAAACUAUGCUGAUGUGUGAUGGUAAAUAUGCCUUUAAAAGUAUAUUUGGGGAAUUUUAAGUUUAAGAGCCAGUGAAUCUUGAAGGCAAUGUCAUUUAUCUGAUUAUUGGUCAUGGAUGCAUUCUAAGCUAUAUCCAGUGGUAAAACUAUGUGGUCCAUAAAUGAGAAUAAGUUAACACAAAAAGGUAAACUCUCUAACAGUAAAUAUAAGCUAUAAGUGAAAAACCAUGGAAGUAAUAUAUCUCAAACCCCCAAACUGAGAGACACAUCUGGAAGAUAAAUUCAAGGAUGUUGAAAUAAGGCUCACCAGUUCAUUGCCUUUCAUAACAUAGCUGGAGCAAAAAUCUAAAAUGAAGACAUGGCAGCAGAUGGUUCCCAAUUCAGAUAGAAAGUAAUAUCUAAAACCAGGGGUCAUAAAUCCUUUAAAAAAUGACAAUGACAAAAGCAGAAGAAAGUGUCAUUUGCUUUUUCAUUGUAUAAUACUGUUCUAUUCAUUUCCUCUGCUGAAGUAAAAUAUGAUGAGAUUUGAAUAAAAUAAUAUUCAGCAUACCAGAUAUAUUCUUCUAACAUGUUUCCCUUGAUCUUCAUUAUUGGAACAAUAGCAAGCACCACAGAAAUAAUAUAGAGAAAAAUUACUUCCAUACCUAAUGGUGGAUAAAUCUUCUGUCUGCAUACACAAUUUAUUGGAUAUACAGAAAAAUGAAAUGUGUUUACUCUGGUAUAAUCAUGAAUAUUGAUGGUGCUCUAUGAAGCUCACCUGCCAUGAUUAAAGCAGGUUCUCCUCCUAAAGCAGCAGGUUGCAACUUGAUGCUGUAAUCCAUAAUAGGACAAUCACUUCUCCUUGUCAGCAUUCACAGGUUAGUCAUACAAGGCACACAUUGGACACUGCUCAGGAUACUCCCUUUGUGUUCCCUAAUUAAUUGUGAAGUAUGCCUCUAUCAACCUUAAACCACCAACAUAGACUGAAUUUCUUUCAAAAUUAAAUAUUUCACUUUUUCACAAGAAAUUCAAUUCUCAUAAUGUCUAUUGGGACCAAGGCUUGCUAGCCUAAGCUCAUUCUUCUGUUCAAUAUGAACAAAAUACAGGCAGUUUGUACCAAGUCUAUUUUCUUUCCUUCCCUGUCUUUGAUUGUGGGAGGUCUGAAAUGUCCCUCAUAUGCUCAUGUACUUGAACACUUUGGACAGGCCAUCUCUACUAUUAUGCUUGGCCAUAAACACUCUGGAAGUGUAAGGCAAAGUAAACCAUUAUCUCUUCAGUUGCUUCUGCCAGGGUAUUUAAUCAUAGCAUUAGAAAAGAAUCUAAGACAUGUGCUUUGACUUUUCUUCAAGAAUUUACUUGACAACAAUUUUGGUCUUUCUUUGUUUUCAACAAAGACCACUGACACUGUGGUUUUGUAUCCAAUUCAACAGUAGCAAUUCUGCUCAACAUUUCCUGUUGCAUAAAUGGUAAAGAAGGUACUUAAGGUUAGUUUAAGCUAAAAUUUAUUAUUAUUUAUCACUUGGUAUAUAAUCUCUGUAAGACUGCAAAAUAUAUUUGUUUAUUCCUCUAAA